rnacentral:lncRNA from 10 species
GUGGAAAAUAACAUAAUUCUUACAGAGGAAAAGUUGGCCCUAAAGAUACAAAGGCAAAAAUACAAAAAGACAUAUGCAUAUUGCUGCAAUAUUUUUAAUAGCAAAGGGCUAGAAACAACCCAAAUGUCAAUCAGGAGUGACUGGUCGAAUAAACAAUGGUAUGCUGUCAUAAUGAAGCAUUACAAUGGAAAACAUACUAUAUGGUUCUAUGGAGUGACAGCCAAUAUUUUAAGCAAAAUAGAAGGGUCCAGGAAAGUGUGAAAUAGCAUGCUAUCAUUUAUCAUUUGUUUAUAUUGCUUAAAUGGAAGGAUAAAAGGGGAAAUUUGAUUACAGCAGAAGAGAAGCAGGAAAUAGGGUGGAGGGAACCGGUCAGAAGAUAAACUCUGAAUACAUUUUGUUCUGUAGAUUUGACUUUGGAACCAUGUAAAUAGUUUACAUAAUUAUAAAACAAAGUUAAAAUUAAAAAGCAAUCUCUAAAAAUUUCAGGAAAAUGAAGGAGGUAUAAUCAGUAAAUCCUGAUUCUAGUUUGGAGCAUGCCACAGAGAGGGGAACCAUUCCAAGUAACUUUACAACAAGAUCGCAGCUGAGCCCAUGGGAGAAGAAACAUUUCAAAAGCAACUCUUGACUGUGUCUCAACCUUUGUCCAAACAACAGUACAAGAAUAAACCAUCUUAGAAACCAUCUUGAUGUAGGGCUUGAUCAUUGAACUAGUGACACACUUCUGGCUCCAUCUCAUACCAGGGCAAAUACAAAGAUUUAAAUAAAAUAUGUGUGAGGAAAUCUCACCAGCAGCUUGACAUGUAAUUAGAUAAUGAAACUUUCUUACAGCUUCGCUACCUCUUAAGUUUUAGCUUGAAUGAUCUUCCCCACCCUACCCCAUACCCCAUCCUACCACACCCCACUCAGCUCUGGCCAGUGUUUUCUCUCUUUGAUCACCUGGAGGGCGUCACCCUGUAGUGAAUUCAUCAGAAACAAAAGGCCAUGGAAUCUAUGACAACUCAAGCAUUUUCCUAAACUCUCCACGGCCAGGUAUUGUCCUUACCAAUCUCCCAUGUGGUCAAAACAAAUUUAUAAUGUGGAACAGUCCCAAACAUCACCUCUGUGUUCUCUGACUCAUUUAUUCCAGUGUAUCCAACCCAGACAGGAAGAGAGUCAGCCACCCCCUCCUAGAAGGAAGUGGGCUGUCUCAUGCUCAGGUAGAAGUCAGGCGGGCAGGAAGGAGCAAUCACUUUUAUUUUUUCAGUUAUAUUACCAGGUUAUGUAUUUGAGAUAUGAUUUCUCAAAAGGGAAGUAACUCAGGCAGAAUCCAUG